UUGACCUCAAAUCGGGUGAGACUACCCGCUGAACUUAAGCAUAUCAAUAAGCGGAGGAAAAGAAACUAACAAGGAUUCCCCUAGUAACUGCGAGUGAAGCGGGAAAAGCUCAAAUUUAAAAUCUGGUGGUCUUUGGCCAUCCGAGUUGUAAUUUAGAGAAGCGUCUUCCGCGCUGGACCGUGCACAAGUCUCCUGGAAUGGAGCGUCAUA
rnacentral:rRNA from 1 species